CUACGGGGGGCUCCAGUGGGAAAUAUUGCACAAUGGGCGCAAGCCUGAUGCAGCCAUGCCGCGUGUAUGAAGAAGGCCUUCGGGUUGUAAAGUACUUUCAGCGGGGAGGAAGGGAGUAAAGUUAAUACCUUUGCUCAUUGACGUUACCCGCAGAAGAAGCACCGGCUAACUCCGUGCCAGCAGCCGCGGUAAUACGGAGGGUGCAAGCGUUAAUCGGAAUUACUGGGCGUAAAGCGCACGCAGGUGGUUUGUUAAGUCAGAUGUGAAAUCCCCGGGCUCAACCUGGGAACUGCAUCUGAUACUGGCAAGCUUGAGUCUCGUAGAGGGGGGUAGAAUUCCAGGUGUAGCGGUGAAAUGCGUAGAGAUCUGGAGGAAUACCGGUGGCGAAGGCGGCCCCCUGGACGAAGACUGACGCUCAGGUGCGAAAGCGUGGGGAGCAAACAGGAUUAGAUACCCCAGUAGUC
rnacentral:rRNA from 1 species